AUAAAAUGGUCAGAGUGCAACCUACCACAUAAUAAAUUAAACUUUUCAGUUCCAUGUUAAUAGGAAAUCCUUAAAAUAUGCAGUAGUUUAGAUCAACCUGCAUUUUGCUCAAACCAUCUAAGUGAAUUUUUCAUAGUAUUACCUGCAUAUCUUCCGGUUUAUUCCAUUGCCAUGGAGCUUCUUGGAUUCCAGUGAAUUUGUAGAUGAAGAAAAGGAGGAUGCAUGAGCUUCAAAUCUGUUUGAAUUUAGUCAGAAGAUGGAGACUUGAAGUAGGAAUUAGUGGAGAAUGGGAAGGUGGAUAGUACAUGGGAACCAAUCAAAUACAUGUAGUCUGUUAGUGUUAUCUUCUUGGGAGUACUUGAGAAGGCGUGGCGGGGAAGGUGGGGACACGCCAUAGCAGAGGCCAGUGGCAAACCUACGUGUAAGCCGUGAGGUCCGGGGAAGGUAGCUUUAUUUGGCAACGCCAAUGAUCAAGUUAGGGAUGCACAAGUCAACCAUGAGAUGUUGGAGACUGAUGUGGAUGCGCAAGGGCAACGCUGGCCUCUGCCUAGAAGGGCAAUCACAGUGUACAGAGCUCUAGCAACACUACGCCGUCAUCCUCUGCCUCACCGGCCGCAUGAAUUUCAAGAGAUGGACAAUUACAGCAAGGAAGUAGGAGGAAGAAAAAAUGCAGGCGGCCUCAUGAAAGUCACAGCAGCAAAGAUCCACAGUUUGUGAAGAUGCAGAAGUUAGAGGAGGAACCAUGAUUUUUGAACAAGCAUUAGUUUGUGGCUCAUGGAUGAAGAUUGCAAGUACUACUUUGUAACUAAUUUAGCUAAUCGCUCACCAAGUAGGUGAUUUAGCUAAUCGCUCAUCAAUCUGUAAUUGUUAUCUUUUGGGGAGUACUUGAGAAGGCGUGGCGGGGAGGGUGGGGACACGCCAUGGAAGAGGCCAAUGGCAAACCUACGUGUAAGCCGUGAGGGUAUUCUUGCUGGCGCCGUCGCUAGCAGAGGCGCAUGGUCGACAUGAAGAGCCGGGGCAUUGACACUUUUCGCGCUACCAACACUGCAUACCAGCCACAAAAACACAAUAACAGUUGGGAGGGCUGCUUUAUAUCCCUAGACCCCGGCCCACACCUGACCGUCAUCUCCCUCUUUCCUCGGUAUCAUAACCUGAUGCGACGUUGGCGGCGCAGCAGUCCGGAGGAGGCCAGCAGUGCCGACGACGGCUCUGCGAUGGGGAAAGGUCGCUCAUCGUCGCGGCACCAGUAGUUCCACGAUCACAUUAUACCCCGCGUGUUGAUGAGCAACAGGACUCUCCGGCCUCCUCCCUCUAGGAAGAGACAUGAUCAUAUCAAUCACCAGUGAUGGAGUCAAGUGGUUGUUGUUGUCAAGCGAAAUGUUGGUGUAGUGCCAAAUGAGAAGAUAUGUUCUAAUAUUCCUGAGCUGGACAUUAUGGUAAAAUAUUAAUUUUAGAAUUUUGCCAAUCAUACUGGUCUGUAUCUAUAUCACAUUGCAAAAUUCCAUGAACAUGUGGUCCACAUUAUUUUUCACAUUGCAAAAUUCCAUGAACAUGUGGUCCACAUUGUUUUCCU